rnacentral:ncRNA from 1 species
GUCUUGAGUGCCAGUGCUCGCAGGAGCACAGCCCCGGCUUGCUGGCCAGCAACCCCCACGCGUCACGGCGGGGUGCUCCGGGAGACGACCUGGCCGUGUUGAGGGACACGGCAAGCGUGA